GACGCCCCGAACCUAGCGGGGUCUGUUCGAGGCAGGUUUACGUAGCUUUGGAAGGUGGAUGCUCGAGACCUGGUCGCAUGAGAGUCAGUGGGUCGCGUGCUGACUGAGCGCUUCUCCAUCAUCACUUUCAUCUUCAGCAGGUUCCCCGCAGACGACACUCUUUCUCUCUGAUGCCGUGUGGGCUCAUAAUCUCUGUGAAACAGAAAGCUCUGAACUCAUGGAACCAAGGAGUUGCAUUAAUAUCAGAGCACAGCUCUCUCAUGUCCAUCUACCAUGAAGCAGGCAUUCCAGAUUGGCUCCUGAGUGCUGGCCUUGCUGAACUACAGGAUCAGCACACCUCCAGUGCUCCUUCCAUUUGUGCUUCAUCCUCUACCACAUUGGGGGCACCUGGCACCCCUCCCUAUCAUGGCAGGCCAGAUCAAUGGUAAGAUCCAUUCGAGCAGAAUGACCGGAGGUCAGCAUCAAAGGCCCCCUGCUUGUCUCUCUGCCACCUGGAGCUCAACGAGGGUCAUGGGCUGCCUGGGCUACCACUGUCUCCUUUUCCCUUCUGCUGGCUGGGUUGCUGAGUGGGACCCAUGCAGCAUCUGAGUUGGCUUUGCCCUGGCCCAGCAGCCCACAUGGGGAGCGGGCCAGAGGUCAAGCCCAUCAGAGCACUUUGCUUCAUCUGAUGAGGAUAUCUGGUCUGGUUUUAAUGAGGCAACACUGAUUCCAUGUCUCUUUACACAUGUGAGCAGACAUAUUUAUUCUGUCAACCUAAUGUGUGUAUUGUAGAUAUAAUUCUGUAAUUUUCUUUCUCCUCACAGGAUGCAGCCUCUGAGACAUUUCCAGGUAUAUUUUAAUACUUCAAAUGUGUUUAACAAUUUAAAAUCUCAUAUAAGCCACAUUCACUUUCCUUCAUGUCAAAUAAAAUAAUCAAAUGACUAUAAUUCUGGGAGAUUUUGAACUGUUUAAUUUCAGCAGACAGAAGAUUAUUGUAGAACAUACAACAUUUCCCAUAUGAAUGCUGUGGCUCUCUUCAACAAAAUGUUGCUCAUAUGGUAAAAGAACAGGCAAUUAUUUUCAUGCAGCUGUCAAUAAACUGAACAGGCUAAUACAGCCUAAUUAAAUGUCAUUUUUUGGGACACUAAUGAAAAUAACCCAACACUGAGGGAUUUUUAAUAUCGCUGUGAAGCGCUUCAACUGCCGGAGCCCUGCAGUCAGUGACUUGAUUCUUCUAUGUCCCUUACUUCUGUGAAGAGGGAGACAGAGAAAAAGAGAGAAAAAAGGCAAGUUUGGCAAGUAGAGGAGUGAAGGGGGAGACAGAUGGCGUGAAGUCUGCAUCUCUUUGGCGUUGGGCUCAUGGUGCUAAAAUCCUCCCUCUCACACAUUCCAACAAAUCCAACCAGGAGGUUCAGGAUUAUGUUCCACUGCUCUCGAAAUGAAGCAUCUUACCAGGAUAGAGCCACACACACAUACAUACGCUCUUUCUCACUGUCUCUCUCCCUCUUUCACACACAUGCACACAUACAUUCACAUACUGUCAGUCACCCAUAACCUAUCCAGAAGUUUAAAUUUGUAUUAGUAUGUCACCCACUCUGGAGUUUAUUGGCUUGUUAAAAUAGGAAGCUUGGGGAGCUGGGGAGAGAGAACAUGGGGGCAUGACUGGAAAUAUUGCAGUGGAGAAAAAGAGACCAAGAGCCAUUCAAGUGUAAAAUCUCAUUGAGUAAACAUGGUGCCAACGCAUGUAAACAAAGUGCGUACAAUCCAUUUGCGGCAGAAAAAUAAGGAGCUUUGUGGUUAGUCACACUAGCCACAACAUUAGCCUGUGCUUCUGAUAAGGUGAUUGCCAGUUAGUCCCUAAGAGUUUGGACUAGUCUUGCAAUAUCUUUCAUUAGCUUCCCUAUAAUAAAAGAACAUUGAGUACAUCUAAUUGAAUCAAACAUUGGCAUAUACAGCAAAAUCUUUGGACUGCAUGUAAUCAGUCAUUCAACUGCUUCUGUUCCAUGCUUCACUGCUGUUUCUUGAAGCAGCAAAGCUUUAUUUUAAUGAAUCGUUAUAUUUUAUUUGUCAUUUAGCUGAAAUGUACUGCUAAUAGCUGUUGACAUAUAAAACUACCAUGUGUUCCUCCUGUCAGCCAGAUGCAAAAGGCACAGAUGGGCUUCUUUUUUCCAAAUGGAGCUCUUGAUAGCGGACAAUUAAUGUGCCUUUGACUCUCCCAUUGAUUCUGGAAAAUUUAUUCAUUGAAGGCAUAUGAUCAGCUACGGAUGAAUCUUGUCAGAAGUGCCAAAUCACAAAUGAAAUGCUUUAGUGCCUCUCCCUCCAUCCUCCAGGGCUAAGAGCUCUUACACUCUCUCCCUCUCUCUCUUUCUCUCACUAUUUCUCUAUCUCUCUUGCUCACUCUCUAGAUGGAUGGCUGAGUUCUGCCUUCUGUUUGCACUGCCAUACUAAUGAAUGAGUCAGCUGGGAAUAUGUAAUACUGUGAAAAGGUCACCGGAGGCAUGUGUAUCACAUUACUGUUAAUGAUACUAAAAAGAACAAUCUGUGCAAAUCCAUUUUUUGAAGUAAAUGUAUUCCUUCCUACUGUGAGUGAUUU